AUGCCUGGCUUUACCAUCUAUAAAGAAUAUUUGUGGCCCUGCAAGGUAGCCUGGCUGCGGAUGGUGAACUCUUCCUAUGGAGACUGGCAUUCAUGUUUAAGCAUUCCCAGGGAUGCCAGGUUUAUCCUUAUCAUGCAGCCACAUUGGUGUAUGCGUUGCAAAACUGGCUUACAGAAGAACCUGUAUUUCAAAGCCGAGCUUCUGUUGGUGUUACAGGAAGCUUUAAGGCCUAAGGUGUGUGAAGGCUUUAAGACCCAAGGUAUUUCUCCUCUCUGCCAGAUAAGGCUGAUGCUGUUUCUAUUUCCAGGUCUAGGUGCAAGGCUGAGCAUGCAUUUCGAAGAUGCAAAUAUGUAUGCUCUACAAGCAUGGCUGGCCACACAAACAAGAGACCAGUGCCUUUACCAGCAUCUACACAAACAGAAACAUAAAUGUGAACAACACAGAUGGCCCAACAGCUUCCUACUGUCUGGCCGAGGACUGAAGGUUAUUAGUGAGACACUAUGAGAUCAAAUGGGCCAGACAUCCUAUCAAGAAGUCCAAGUAAAAAGCUGAGCUUGAAAUCUUCACAGAGAUAGUACAAAAAAGUUGCUGAGCAGCUUCUCUGCAGGGCCUGGGAAGAGCAGGAGCAUAGAAACCUGGACAGGCUUAUGGAGCUGUGGCCUACUGGAAGGGAAUAUAGAAGAGCACAUAGAAGAGCUGAUCUGGACAUCAUCCUGCACACCCAUGCACUUACACAUCCUUGUGCGGGACUUGGCUUUUGCUUACUUCAGAGACAGUCUUAACCCUCAUGAGAAUUUAUCUACGUGGUCAGCUUUACACGCCAUACCUUCUUCCAGGUCCACCUGUGAAACACUAACUAUUCACAAGCUGUGGUGCUGGCCCAAAUCUGCAAUGUCUGACCGCCCUGGAGCAGUGGUCCUUUGCCAUGCUAGAGCGAAGUCAAGCCUGUCCACAAAAACCAGCCUUUGCACUGUGUUCUGGAGGCACAGCUAAGGGUCAGAUACAGCCGACGUGGUUACUAUCACGCCUGUACUAGUGCCUCUCCCUUGCUGUACUGGGAGGGCAAACAAGCCAACUCAAGCUGGUGGGUGGCUUCACGUUGAAGUAGACUAAAUGUACCUAUACAGCCAGCUGCAGCUGAAAGGUGCAAUAAAAUAUUCUUAAUUUCCA
rnacentral:lncRNA from 1 species